rnacentral:rRNA from 1 species
UGGGGAAUUUUGGACAAUGGGCGAAAGCCUGAUCCAGCAAUGCCGCGUGUGUGAAGAAGGCCUUCGGGUUGUAAAGCACUUUUGUCCGGAAAGAAAUCCUUGGCUCUAAUACAGUCGGGGGAUGACGGUACCGGAAGAAUAAGCACCGGCUAACUACGUGCCAGCAGCCGCGGUAAUACGUAGGGUGCAAGCGUUAAUCGGAAUUACUGGGCGUAAAGCGUGCGCAGGCGGUUUGCUAAGACCGAUGUGAAAUCCCCGGGCUCAACCUGGGAACUGCAUUGGUGACUGGCAGGCUAGAGUAUGGCAGAGGGGGGUAGAAUUCCACGUGUAGCAGUGAAAUGCGUAGAGAUGUGGAGGAAUACCGAUGGCGAAGGCAGCCCCCUGGGCCAAUACUGACGCUCAUGCACGAAAGCGUGGGGAGCAAACAGGAUUAGAUACCCUGGUAGUCCACGCCCUAAACGAUGUCAACUAGUUGUUGGGGACUUCAUUUCCUUAGUAACGUAGCUAACGCGUGAAGUUGACCGCCUGGGGGAGUACGGUCGCAAGAUUAAAACUU